rnacentral:rRNA from 1 species
CCCUACGGGAGGCAGCAGUGGGGAAUAUUGGACAAUGGAGAAAGCCUGAUCCAGCAAUGCCGCGUGGGUGAAGAAGGCAUUGGGGUUGUAAAGCAAUUUUGUCUGGGAAGAAGUCGAGGGGGUUAAUACCUUGGGGGGAAACGGUACCCGAAGAAAAGCACCGGUAAUUUUUU